GAUGAAACUAAAGAAAAGGUGUCUCAUGGAUAUCUCACCAUGUGACCAGGGAGAAGAUUAUGAUGCAGAUUCAAGUGGUGGAUCAAACAUGCUUUUGCCACCCAGGAGCAGUUCUGGUGACAACAGUUCCCUGUUCAGGGCACUACCAACUCUCUUCCUAUCACAAGCUGCACCACCCAAGAAGAUGGGACAUGUCAGUGAAGCACUGAUUCAUGUCCUUCAGAAGAUCCAGCGUCAGCCCUGUUCAGCUCUUUGAAGGGUCCCGCUGUCUUAUUGCAGUUGGAACCACUCCCAUCACCACAUUUGCCACAGAUGACCUUGGAGAAGGUUUGCUGUAUCUUAUGGCAUACUACUACACCCUGCAUCUUACCUAUCCUAAAUGUGUGGCAACGCUUCUGUCUGUCAUUCAGACUGAAGCGUUAAAAGACAAAAUCCAUGAGCAAGACACCACAGGCUCAUACAAAAAAGUCAUGGCAGGCUGUAGGAAUUUUUAUUGAAACAUAGAGCUGUUCUUCAACAUUUUGCUUAGAACAAGUGGUUAAAGCUUAUUUUAGGUUUCAAUUGCCGUGAUUGGUUGCCUGGAAUAAGUGUGUAAGGAUUAUUUUAAGAUUUAACUAUCUUAUUUGUUCCCUAGAAUAAGUGGUUAAAUUUUAUUUUAAAUUUCAAUUGUUCUGAUUUGUUGCCUGGAAUAAGUGUAAAAGACUUAAGAAGAUUUAAAUAAAGCUAAAAUUAUUUCAAGAAAUCUUAGUAAGAAAAAAAAAAAAAACACUUACCCCACUGGCAGAUAAUUUCACUUGUUUUAAGCAAAUCAUCACCAAAAAUAAGUGUAUUUAUCUAGUAUUAAGGAGGUGGGUUUUUGCAGUUUAUUAUUAAUAAUAAUAAUAAUAAUAAUAAUAAUAAUAAUAAUAGAUUGCAUUUAUAUAGCGCUUUUCGAGACCCUCAAAGCACUUUAGAAUUCCACUAUUCAUAUACACACACACACACACACACACACACACACACACACACACAGUUGUAGCCACAUCUGCCCUGGGGCAGACUGACAGAUGCGAGGCUGCCAUAUCGCGCCAUCACCAGUAGGUGCCCAAGGACACAACGACUGAGACUGUCGGAGCUGGGGCUCGAACCCGCAACUUUCCGGUUACAAGACGAACUGCCAACUCUUUGAGCCACGAUCGCCCCAUACAUCAUACGGAGCAUGUCACACUCUCCAC
rnacentral:lncRNA from 1 species